rnacentral:rRNA from 1 species
UACGAAGGGGGCUAGCGUUGCUCGGAAUGACUGGGCGUAAAGGGCGCGUAGGCGGUUCGUACAGUCAGACGUGAAAUUCCCGGGCUCAACCUGGGGGCUGCGUUUGAUACGUGCGGGCUUGAGUUCGGAAGAGGGUCGUGGAAUUCCCAGUGUAGAGGUGAAAUUCGUAGAUAUUGGGAAGAACACCGGUGGCGAAGGCGGCUUGCUGGGCCGGACCUGACGCUGAGACGCGAAGGCGUGGGGAGCGAACGGG